UGUAAAAAAUUUGGCUCAUUUCUACUAGUAAAAACUGACAAAAUAACUAAACAGUUACAUGUGGUGUGCUACUUGCACCUUAUGCUGAUGUACAAGGACCAUUCUUAAAAGUAGAAAUUGAUUAAAUUUUUAACA
rfam:Gossypium hirsutum cultivar TM-1 unplaced genomic scaffold scaffold795.1, whole genome shotgun sequence